GAUGAACGCUGGCGGCGUGCCUAAUACAUGCAAGUCGAGCGAACAGACGAGGAGCUUGCUCCUCUGACGUUAGCGGCGGACGGGUGAGUAACACGUGGAUAACCUACCUAUAAGACUGGGAUAACUUCGGGAAACCGGAGCUAAUACCGGAUAAUAUAUUGAACCGCAUGGUUCAAUAGUUAAAGACGGUUUUGCUGUCACUUAUAGAUGGAUCCGCGCCGCAUUAGCUAGUUGGUAAGGUAACGGCUUAACAAGGCGACGAUGGGUAGCCGACCUGAGAGGGGGAACGGACACAUUGGAAGUGAGACAAGGGACAGACUCCUAAGGGAGGCCACAGGCGGGAAUCCUACGGGAUGGGGGAAAGCCGGACGGAAGAAAGGCGGGGGAAUGAUGAAGGUCCUCGGAUCGGUAAACGCUGUUAGUAGGGAAGAACAAAUGUGUAAGUAACUAUGCACGUCUUGACGGUACCUAAUCAGAAAGCCACGGCUAACUACGUG
rnacentral:rRNA from 1 species